rnacentral:rRNA from 1 species
GACAGAGGAUGCAAGCGUUAUCCGGAAUGAUUGGGCGUAAAGCGUCUGUAGGUGGCUUUUUAAGUCCGCCGUCAAAUCCCAGGGCUCAACUCUGGACAGGCGGUGGAAACUACCAAGCUCGAGUACGGUAGGGGCAGAGGGAAUUUCCGGUGGAGCGGUGAAAUGCGCAGAUAUCAGGAGGAACACCGAUGGCGAAGGCAGGUCUCUGGGCUGUAACUGACGCUGAGGAGCGAAAGCAUGGGGAGCGAACAGG